rnacentral:rRNA from 1 species
CCCUUAGAUGUUCUGGGCCGCACGCGUGCUACACUGAGUGGAUCAGCGGGUCAGGUUGCGCGAAAGUGUUUCCUAAUCUUGAAAUCCGCUCGUGAUGGGGAUUGACGGUUGCAAUUUUCCGUAAUGAACGAGGAAUACCUUGUAAGCGCGGGUCAUCAUCCCGCGCUGAAUACGUCCCUGCCCUUUGUACACACCGCCCGUCGCUCCUACCGAUUGAGUGGUCCGGUGAGGCUUUGGGAUCUGAGCGGAAAGAGCGUUUCGCUGUUUCUGCUCGGAAAACUCAGUCGAACCUUAUCAUUUAGAGGAAGGAGAAGUCGUAACA